rnacentral:rRNA from 1 species
AUUGAACGCUGGCGGCAUGCCUUACACAUGCAAGUCGAACGGCAGCACGGGGGCAACCCUGUGGCGAGUGGCGAACGGGUGAGUAAUACAUCGGAACGUGCCCAGUAGUGGGGAUAGCUCGGCGAAAGCCGGAUUAAUACCGCAUACGACCUACGGGUGGAAAGCGGGGGAUCGCAAGACCUCGCGCUAUUGGAGCGGCCGAUGUCAGAUUAGGUUGUUGGUGGGGAAAGGCCUACCAAGCCGACGAUCUGUAGCUGGUCUGAGAGGACGACCAGCCACACUGGGACUGAGACACGGCCCAGACUCCUACGGGAGGCAGCAGUGGGGAAUUUUGGACAAUGGGCGCAAGCCUGAUCCAGCCAUGCCGCGUGC